rnacentral:rRNA from 1 species
AACGCACAUUGCGCUCUCUGGUAUUCCGGAGAGCAUGCCUGUUUGAGUAUCAGUUAACCAUUCUCAAGCUACACAAUUCCUCGGAAGCGUGUAGCAUGGAACUGAGUGUUCCCGGUAUGAGUGCCUCGGCGCUGUAAUUGGGAGACUUGAAACUGAUCUCGCGGGAGCAGUGGUCAUUAAGGAUCAGCUCGUUGCAGGUGUACUAGUUGGAGGCGUCGCAAGACGUUUUCAUUCUUAGCACCAUAACGUAACGUUCAGAUCUGACGACUGUCACCGACGAACGCAGGAACUUGGGAUGCGGGCGCAAGCCUAACUCUUAAUUCUUGAUCUCAAAUCAGGUAGGAUUACCCGCUGAACUUAA